rnacentral:rRNA from 1 species
GAUGAACGCUAGCUACAGGCUUAACACAUGCAAGUCGCGGGGCAGCAUGGGGGUUGCUUGCCACUCCCGAUGGCGACCGGCGCACGGGUGAGUAACGCGUAUCCAACCUGCCCUUCACCACGGGAUAACCCGGCGAAAGUCGGACUAAUACCGUAUGUUGUCCAUUGACGGCAUCCGACUUGGACGAAAGGCUCUGCGGUGAAGGAUGGGGAUGCGUCCGAUUAGCCAGACGGCGGGGUAACGGCCCACCGUGGCUACGAUCGGUAGGGGUUCUGAGAGGAAGGUCCCCCACGCUGGAACUGAGACACGGUCCAGACUCCUACGGGAGGCAGCAGUGAGGAAUAUUGGUCAAUGGGCGUAAGCCUGAACCAGCCAAGUAGCGUGCAGGAUGACGGCCCUAUGGGUUGUAAACUGCUUUUAUGCGGGGAUAAAGUGGCCCACGUGUGGGCUUUUGCAGGUACCGCAUGAAUAAGGACCGGCUAAUUCCGUG